rnacentral:tRNA from 1 species
GGGCGAUUAGCUCAGCUGGUUAGAGUGCUUGCUCGACACGCAAGAGGUCACUGGUUCAACUCCAGUAUCGCCCACCA